rnacentral:lncRNA from 1 species
AGUGGCCUGCGUGCGUUUUGCUGGCGAGACGGUAGCGUGGGUCAAAAAGUUAUCUUGGUCAGAUUGGCUUAUGAACGUGUGUGUAGGCAUUUUUAAAAUUGGAACUCAAAUGAUCAUACUAGAUGGAAAACUCAGCAAUUAAGUGGAAAAUGCUACCAGUACAAGCCAUGUUGUGGAUUAUUCCAGUAAUUAUCCUGAAUGAAAGAACAUGGGCAACAGCAGGAGUGGAGAAUGUCCAGAUCCACUGGUAAACAGGCAAGGAAGUGCAAACUGCUGUGUGCUGGCUGAAAGCACAUCCACGAGUACCAGAGGCAGAGGCAGGAAGAGCAGACAGAAGACAUUACAAAAGGAAAAUAAAAAUUUGUACAGUGGAGGUUUUCAGUGCGAUUUUUGGAUGACUUUCUUGAUUGGGAUUACUUCACAAGUGUAGACUAAUGUCAUACCUACAAAUUUGUGUGCUUUAAAUACAUGCAAUGCACUGUUCAGUGACACCUCCAUAAAGCUGCUGUUAGAAACACAGACACAUACAAUUAAUUAUACUGGCCAUAUGAUAACUACAGUUUUAUUACAAAGUCGAUCCUGUGUUCUCUAGAGUCUCAUAAGACAAAUCUUGUAAGUUAUAUCUUCUUUACCCUACACAGUGUUUCUCUGUGACAUUAGGGGUAUACACAUUGGAGAUCUCAAAGUC